AAAUUGAAGAGUUUGAUCAUGGCUCAGAUUGAACGCUGGCGGCAGGCCUAACACAUGCAAGUCGAACGGUAGCACAGAGAGCUUGCUCUCGGGUGACGAGUGGCGGACGGGUGAGUAAUGUCUGGGAAACUGCCUGAUGGAGGGGGAUAACUACUGGAAACGGUGGCUAAUACCGCAUAACGUCGCAAGACCAAAGAGGGGGACCUUCGGGCCUCUUGCCAUCAGAUGUGCCCAGAUGGGAUUAGCUUGUUGGUGAGGUAACGGCUCACCAAGGCGACGAUCCCUAGCUGGUCUGAGAGGAUGACCAGCCACACUGGAACUGAGACACGGUCCAGACUCCUACGGGAGGC
rnacentral:rRNA from 1 species